CAAGACCUUGCGCUAUGAGAUGAGCCGAAUUCGGAUUAGCUAGUUGGUGGGGUAAUGGCCUACCAAGGCGACGACCCGUAGCUGGUCUGAGAGGACGACCAGCCACACUGGGACUGAGGCACGGCCCAGACUCCUACGGGAGGCAGCAGUGGGGAAUAUUGGACAAUGGGGGCAACCCUGAUCCAGCGACGCCGCGUGUGUGAAGAAGGCCUGCGGGUUGUAAAGCACUUUUAGUGGGGAUGAAAAGCCGAGGGCUAAUACCUUUCUGUCUUGACCUAACCCAAAGAAAAAGCACCGGGGGGGUCUGUGCCAGCAGCCGCGGUAAUACAGAGGGUGCAAGCGUUAAUCGGAAUUACUGGGCGUAAAGCGUGCGUAGUCGGUUAUCUAAGUCGGGUGUGAAAUCCCCGGGCUCAACCUGGGAAUUGCAUUCGGUACUGGAUAGCUAGAGUUCGGCAGAGGGAAGUGGAAUUUCCCGGUGUAGCGGUGAAAUGCGUAGAUAUCGGAAGGAACAUCAGUGGCGAAAGCGACUUCCUGGACCAGAACUGACGAUCAGGCACGAAAGGCGUGGGGAGCAAAACAGGAUUAGAUACCCUGGUAUUCCACGCCAUAAACAAUGACAACUAGGACGGUUGGGAGGGUUUGGCCUUUCAGUGUCACAACUAACGCGUUA
rnacentral:rRNA from 1 species